UUCUGACCUCGAAUCAGGUGGGACUACCCGCUGAACUUAAGCAA
rnacentral:rRNA from 1 species